rnacentral:rRNA from 1 species
UACGUAGGGGGCAAGCGUUGUCCGGAAUCAUUGGGCGUAAAGGGCGCGUAGGCGGCCUGGCAAGUGGAAGGUGAAAUCCCGAGGCUCAACCUCGGAACUGCCUUUGAUACUGGCAAUCUCGAGUCCGGAAGAGGUGAGUGGAAUUCCUAGUGUAGAGGUGAAAUUCGUAGAUAUUAGGAAGAACACCAGUGGCGAAGGCGGCUCACUGGUCCGGUACUGACGCUGAGGUGCGAAAGCGUGGGGAGCAAACAGG